rnacentral:rRNA from 1 species
UACGGAGGGUGCAAGCGUUAUCCGGAUUCACUGGGUUUAAAGGGUGCGUAGGUGGGAAUGUAAGUCAGUGGUGAAAUCUCCGUGCUUAACAUGGAAACUGCCAUUGAUACUAUGUUUCUUGAAUUUUCUGGAGGUCAGCGGAAUAUGUCAUGUAGCGGUGAAAUGCUUAGAUAUGACAUAGAACACCAAUUGCGAAGGCAGCUGACUACAGGGAUAUUGACACUGAGGCACGAAAAGCGUGGGGGAUCAAAACAGG